CUCCGUAAAUCCUUCGCCGAAAUCGAGCCCAUCAUUCGCUCGCUGCACAAAAAGCUCGGCCCUAUGGUCACUCUCCACAUCGGUUCUAACCCCACCAUUUUCAUCGCCGAUCGCUCCCUAGCCCACCAAGCGUUGGUCCAGAGUGGUGCAGUUUUUGCUAAUCGUCCACAGGCUCCUGCUACUAAUAAAAUUUCCACUAACAAUCAGCAUAAUAUCAACUCGUCCUUCUACGGCCCUACUUGGCGCCUCCUCCGCCGGAAUCUUACCUCAGAAAUCCUCCAUCCUUCAAGGGUCAAGUCAUACAAUCAUGCUCGCAAGUGGGUUCUGCAAAUUCUCGUCAACCGGUUUGAAUCGCAGUCGAAAUCUGGAGAUCCUGUUCGCGUUAUGGAUAAUUUUCGGUACGCCAUGUUUUGCCUGUUAGUCCUCAUGUGUUUCGGCGACAAGCUCGAUCAGAAACAAAUUGAAGAAAUUGAGAGAGUAGAACGUUCUGCCAUUUUGAAUGCUGUGAAAUUCAAUAUACUCAAUUUCAUGCCAAGAUUGACCAAGAUAGUGUUUCGUAAACGUUGGUCACGGUUUUUGCAGCUUCAAAAGGAUCGACAAGAAGUAUUGAUUCCAUUGAUAAGAGCAAGAAAGAAGGCCAGUGAAGAGAGACAGAGCAAGUUAAAUGACAAAAAAGAUGACUAUGUCUUAUCGUA
rnacentral:misc_RNA from 1 species